rnacentral:rRNA from 1 species
CUACGGGGGGCACCAGUGGGGAAUAUUGGGCAAUGGGCGAAAGCCUGACCCAGCAACGCCGCGUGAAGGAAGAAGGUUUUCGGAUCGUAAACUUCUAUCCCGGGUGAAGAUAAUGACGGUAGCCCGGAAGGAAGCCCCGGCUAACUACGUGCCAGCAGCCGCGGUAAUGCGUAGGGGGCAAGCGUUGUCCGGAAUGAUUGGGCGUAAAGGGCGCGUAGGCGGCCUUUUAAGUCCGAUGUGAAAGUCCUGCUUUUAAGGUGGGAAUUGCAUUGGAAACUGGAAGGCUUGAGUGCAGGAGAGGUAAGUGGAAUUCCCGGUGUAGCGGUGAAAUGCGUAGAGAUCGGGAGGAACACCAGUGGCGAAGACGACUUACUGGACUGUAACUGACGCUGAGGCGCGAAAGUGUGGGGAGCAAACAGGAUUAGAUACCCUCGUAGUC